GGGAGACCUGUGUGUGGAGCUGAAGUUAAUUAAUGAACAUCAAAUGGUAUUGAGAAAGUGGCUGUGGAGGAGCAGUUUGUUAUGUGAUGAUCAUCUACAGUCCCUUCACAUUACUAAAACCAUUUCAGCUCCUGCGACAGCCAGACGGAAGGAGACAGCAACAUACCAGCCGUUAUCUCCAGGGAGAUGGGAUGUCUGGCUGUCGCCCUACAACGAGGAAGGCUGCUGCUGAGAGCAGGGGGUGCCUACUCAAGUCCUAGAAACAGCAACUAGAUUGUCAGCUGUAUAGGCCCUGCUGUACCGGAAUCCUCUAGUGCUUCUUCAAGGAUUGAUUUACUUCCCCUGCCUUCCAUUGACUGUAGAGGAACCAACCCUGAUACCAAAAUCAAUAACUACUCUAGGAAAUGGCUUCCUGAAAUCCCUCAAGCAGCUGAUUGGUCGACUCCAGGGCUAAUUGGAGAGCUGACCCCGCCCCCUCGUCAAGACACAGCUGUCUCCAAUUACCCAUUCCUUCAGAAGCUAUAUAAAAACCAGUGUUCUGUUCAGAAAAAAAGAUUCUCUUUUUUUGUAGAGGAUUUUGCUGGAGGUAAAUUUGCUAGAGAGAUAUUUUGUAGAGGAUUUUGCUAGAGGUUGAUUUUGCUGGGAGUUCAUUGCUGAGAGUUGGUAUGUUUUGUGAGUUUGUUGCUCAGAUAGAACUUAUUUGAUGUCCUUUGUCUCUUAGUUUGUUUGUGAAAUUGUUUAAUAUUCUGUUUCAUUUGUUCCCAGGGGGGAAGGGGAAGGCACCUAGGGAGUGCUUAGGCAAGAGGCCCGCGGGCAUACAUAUACCCGUAGCAUAUUCGCUGUCUAGGCACACUAGGUAAGACCUGGGCGGACCACCCCUUGUAUUUUGGUUAGGG
ensembl:lncRNA